CUCAAAUGACUGCAUAAUCGCCGCCUACAGAUGCGACAGAUUUGCACAAACUCUUCAGAUCGGUAUGUGAAAAUCUAUGCUUCUGUAGGCGGCAAUAUGCAUUUUUAAGUG
rnacentral:pre_miRNA from 13 species